UAUUUUGGAAGAGAUGCAUUUAUUAGAUAAAAAACCAAUACAUACUUUUUCAAGUAUGAAAUUUGGUGAUUUACAAUAACUUAGCAAAUCGCAUAGUGAAAACAGGCGAUAAAUCAUUCAAGUUUCUGACCUAUCAGCUUUCGACGGUAUGGUAUUGGCUUACCGUGGCAGUGACGGUUAACGGGGGAUUAGGGUUCGAUUCCGGAGAGGGAGCCUGAGAAACGGCUACCACAUCUAAGGAAGGCAGCAGGCGCGCAAAUUACCCAAUUCUAACAGCAUAAGAGGGGUAGUGACAAGAAAUAACAAUACAAGGCAGUUAAAAUGCUUUGUAAUUGGAAUGAUAGAAAUUUAAACACUUUUUAAAGUAUCAAUUGGAGGGCAAGUCUGGUGCCAGCAGCCGCGGUAAUUCCAGCUCCAAUAGCGUAUAUUAAAAUUGUUGCAGUUAAAAAGCUCGUAGUUGAAUUUCUGUUAAAAAUAACCGGUCUGCUUUUAAUAAAAGUGGUAUCUUGGUGUGUUUUUAGCAAUAAUGUCCUUUGAAAUGUUUUUUACUUUAUUGUAAUAAAUAAUAUUCAGGAUUUUUACUUUGAGAAAAUUAGAGUGUUUCUAGCAGGCUAACGCUUUGAAUA
rnacentral:rRNA from 1 species